AGGACGAACGCUGGCGGCGUGCUUAACACAUGCAAGUCGAGCGGAAAGGCCCUUCGGGGUACUCGAGCGGCGAACGGGUGAGUAACACGUGAGCAACCUGCCCUUAGCUUCGGGAUAGCUCCGGGAAACCGGAAUUAAAUACCGAAUAUGACUUUGGCUGACAUCAGCAGAAGUGGAAAGUUUUUCGGCUAGGGAUGGACUCGCGGCCUAUCAGCUAGUUGGUGAGGUAACGGCCCACCAAGGCGACG
rnacentral:rRNA from 1 species